rnacentral:rRNA from 1 species
GUUGUUGCAGUUAAAAAGCUCGUAGUUGAACUUCGGGGUUUACCCAUUGGUCAGGCUUAAUUGUCUGUACUGGUGAGAUGAAUCUCUACCUUCUGAGGAACUUUCAUGCCAUUUAGUUGGUGUGAUUGGAAAUCAGGACUGUUACUUUGAAAAAAUUAGAGUGUUUAAAGCAGGCUAACGUCUGAAUACAUUAGCAUGGAAUAAUGAAAUAGGACGGAUUGGUUCUAUUUCGUUGGUUUCUAGGAUCACCGUAAUGAUUAAUAGGGAUAGUUGGGGGCAUUAGUAUUCAAUUGUCAGAGGUGAAAUUCUUGGAUUUAUUGAAGACUAACUAUUGCGAAAGCAUUUGCCAAGGAUGUUUUCAUUAAUCAAGAACGAAAGUUAGGGGAUCGAAGACGAUCAGAUACCGUCGUAGUCUUAACCAUAAACUAUGCCGACUAGGGAUCGGACGAAGUUAAUUUUAUAAUGACGCGUUCGGCGCCUUACGGGAAAC